rnacentral:rRNA from 1 species
CUACGGGGGGCAGCAGUGGGGAAUAUUGGACAAUGGAGGCAACUCUGAUCCAGCCAUGCCGCGUGAGUGAAGAAGGCCUUAGGGUUGUAAAGCUCUUUCGCAGGGGAAGAUAAUGACGGUACCCUGACAAGAAGCCACGGCUAACUCCGUGCCAGCAGCCGCGGUAAUACGGAGGUGGCUAGCGUUGUUCGGAAUUACUGGGCGUAAAGCGCGCGUAGGCGGUUUGGAAAGUCAGAUGUGAAAGCCCAGGGCUCAACCCUGGAACUGCAUUUGAAACUAUCAAACUAGAAUCCGGUAGAGGUUAGUGGAAUUCCUAGUGUAGAGGUGAAAUUCGUAGAUAUUAGGAGGAACACCAGUGGCGAAGGCGACUGACUGGGCCGGUAUUGACGCUGAGGUGCGAAAGCGUGGGGAGCGAACGGGAUUAGAUACCCGCGUAGUC